rnacentral:rRNA from 1 species
UACGGGGGGGGCAAGCGUUGUUCGGAAUUACUGGGCGUAAAGGGCUCGUAGGUGGCCAACUAAGUCAGACGUGAAAUCCCUCAGCUUAACUGGGGAACUGCGUCUGAUACUGGAUGGCUUGGAUUCGGGAGAGGAAUGCGGAAUUCCAGGUGUAGCGGUGAAAUGCGUAGAUAUCUGGGGGAACACCGGUGGCGAAGGCGGCAUUCUGGACCGAUAUUGACGCUGAGGAGCGAAAGCCAGGGGAGCAAACGGG